AUUGAACGCUGGCGGCAUGCCUUACACAAGCGAGUCGAACGGUAACGGGCCUUCGGGUGCCGACGAGUGGCGAACGGGUGAGUAAUACAUCGGAACGUGCCCGAUCGUGGGGGAUAACGAGGCGAAAGCUUUGCUAAUACCGCAUACGAUCUACGGAUGAAAGCAGGGGACCGCAAGGCCUUGCGCGGACGGAGCGGCCGAUGGCAGAUUAGGUAGUUGGUGGGAUAAAAGCUUACCAAGCCGACGAUCUGUAGCUGGUCUGAGAGGAUGAUCAGCCACACUGGGACUGAGACACGGCCCAGACUCCUACGGGAGGCAGCAGUGGGGAAUUUUGGACAAUGGGCGCAAGCCUGAUCCAGCCAUGCCGCGUGCAGGAUGAAGGCCUUCGGGUUGUAAACUGCUUUUGUACGGAACGAAAAGCCUUCUUUUAAUACAGGAGGGUCAUGACGGUACCGUAAGAAUAAGCACCGGCUAACUACGUG
rnacentral:rRNA from 1 species